UACGAAGGGUGCAAGCGUUACUCGGAAUUACUGGGCGUAAAGCGUGAGUAGGUGGUUUCUUAAGUCUGCUGUGAAAGCCCCGGGCUCAACCUGGGAAUUGCAGUGGAUACUGGGAAGCUAGAGUGCGGUAGAGGGUAGUGGAAUUCCCGGUGUGGCGGUGAAAUGCGUAGAGAUCGGGAGGAACACCAGUGGCGAAGGCGGCUACCUGGACCAGCACUGACACUGAGUCACGAAAGCGUGGGGAGCAAACAGG
rnacentral:rRNA from 1 species